UACGUAGGGUGCAAGCGUUGUCCGGAAUUAUUGGGCGUAAAGAGCUCGUAGGCGGUUUGUCGCGUCUGCUGUGAAAACCCGAGGCUCAACCUCGGGCCUGCAGUGGGUACGGGCAGACUAGAGUGCGGUAGGGGAGAUUGGAAUUCCUGGUGUAGCGGUGGAAUGCGCAGAUAUCAGGAGGAACACCAAUGGCGAAGGCAGGUCUCUGGGCUGACACUGACGCUCAUGCACGAAAGCGUGGGGAGCAAACAGG
rnacentral:rRNA from 1 species